rnacentral:rRNA from 1 species
GGCAUGCUUACACUGCAAGUCGAACGGCAGCGGGGGAGAAGCUUGCUUCUCCUGCCGGCGAGUGGCGAACGGGUGAGUAAUACAUCGGAACGUGCCCUGUAGUGGGGGAUAACUAGUCGAAAGAUUAGCUAAUACCGCAUACGACCGAGGGUGAAAGUGGGGGACCGCAAGGCCUCAUGCUAUAGGAGCGGCCGAUGUCUGAUUAGCUAGUUGGUGGGGUAAAGGCCCACCAAGGCGACGAUCAGUAGCUGGUCUGAGAGGACGAUCAGCCACACUGGGACUGAGACACGGCCCAGACUCCUACGGGAGGCAGCAGUGGGGAAUUUUGGACAAUGGGCGAAAGCCUGAUCCAGCAAUGCCGCGUGUGUGAAGAAGGCCUUCGGGUUGUAAAGCACUUUUGUCCGGAAAGAAAUGGCUCUGGUUAAUACCUGGGGUCGAUGACGGUACCGGAAGAAUAAGGACCGGCUAACUACGUGCCAGCAGCCGCGGUAAUACGUAGGGUCCAAGCGUUAAUCGGAAUUACUGGGCGUAAAGCGUGCGCAGGCGGUUGUGCAAGACCGAUGUGAAAUCCCCGAGCUUAACUUGGGAAUUGCAUUGGUGACUGCACGGCUAGAGUGUGUCAGAGGGGGGUAGAAUUCCACGUGUAGCAGUGAAAUGCGUAGAGAUGUGGAGGAAUACCGAUGGCGAAGGCAGCCCCCUGGGAUAACACUGACGCUCAUGCACGAAAGCGUGGGGAGCAAACAGGAUUAGAUACCCUGGUAGUCCACGCCCUAAACGAUGUCAACUAGUUGUUGGGGAUUCAUUUCCUUAGUAACGUAGCUAACGCGUGAAGUUGACCGCCUGGGGAGUACGGUCGCAAGAUUAAAACUCAAAGGAAUUGACGGGGACCCGCACAAGCGGUGGAUGAUGUGGAUUAAUUCGAUGCAACGCGAAAAACCUUACCUACCCUUGACAUGCCACUAACGAAGCAGAGAUGCAUUAGGUGCUCGAAAGAGAAAGUGGACACAGGUG